CCUACGGGGGGCAGCAGUGGGGAAUAUUGCACAAUGGGCGCAAGCCUGAUGCAGCCAUGCCGCGUGUGUGAAGAAGGCCUUCGGGUUGUAAAGCACUUUCAGCGGGGAGGAAGGCGUUAAGGUUAAUAACCUUGUCGAUUGACGUUACCCGCAGAAGAAGCACCGGCUAACUCCGUGCCAGCAGCCGCGGUAAUACGGAGGGUGCAAGCGUUAAUCGGAAUUACUGGGCGUAAAGCGCACGCAGGCGGUCUGUCAAGUCGGAUGUGAAAUCCCCGGGCUCAACCUGGGAACUGCAUUCGAAACUGGCAGGCUAGAGUCUUGUAGAGGGGGGCAGAAUUCCAGGUGUAGCGGUGAAAUGCGUAGAGAUCUGGAGGAAUACCGGUGGCGAAGGCGGCCCCCUGGACAAAGACUGACGCUCAGGUGCGAAAGCGUGGGGAGCAAACAGGAUUAGAUACCCGAGUAGUC
rnacentral:rRNA from 1 species